GAAGGAAGCAACUACUAUAUAAUAGUGUUACAUAAUCAUCAUCAUCAUCUUCAUCAUCACUAUAACAUCUUAGCAGGACUGUAGCAGUAAUCAACUCUAUCAUUAAUUGAAAGUAAGACUGACUAUUGAGAAUCAGCAAUAAUCAACAACAUAUACACAAUUCUGUAACGAAGCAACUGGCUGCUACAGCAAGUCAAUAACAACACUUCUCUCGUCAUCACAUUUAGCAAGAGUCAGAGAGAAUUGAAGAGAGUUUCUACUCAGCUCCGAGAGACAGUUUGGACUUAGCGAGAGAAUCUACUCAACUCCAAGAGAUAGUUUCCACUUCAGUAUUAACAAACACCUGGCGCGCACGUGUUAUCACUUCAUUGACACAACAGUCUCAAAGGCUUAUCUACACUAUGGUGAGUGUAAGUGUAAUUUCAUAUCAGCAACAACAGGAAGGUGACCUUUGCAGGAUUCUCAUACUGCAGAGAUGAUGGAUGUGUGAAGAGAUUCAGAGUUACAGAGGGCUGUUCAGGAGACCCUGCUCUACUAAUAUCUAUCUACAGUGCUGCUUUUCGGGAUACUGUACAAACUGAUGGAGUAUGCAGCAUUUCAGAACGAGAGGAAAGGUCAGCAGAGGUCUAUCAGGAGACCACAAAAUAUAGAAGAGGAUUUUCAAUGACUAAUA